GGUUCUUCAGAGGAAUCCUUUAGAAUGUGGAAGUCUACAACCAGCAGUGCAGGUCACCAGAAACCUUCGAGACCAACAGAGCCAUCUUCCAUGAUUGGUUACCUCAGGUUCUUCCUAGAUGCCGUUUUUCCAAGAAUUGAUACACACCCAUUGAAGAUAAUUUUUUUUUGCUUUGUUUUGCCUUGAAAAAUUUAAUCCAUGUUCGGUUGAGUCUGCAGAUGGAGGGCCCUUGCUUGGAUGCAGAAGUCUCGUUGUAUAUUGUUUUUUGUUGAUACCACCCAUUGAAGAUAAUUUUUUUUUGCUUUGUUUUGCCUUGAAAAAUUUAAUCCAUGUUCGGUUGAGUCUGCAGAUGGAGGGCCCUUGCUUGGAUGCAGAAGUCUCGUUGUAUAUUGUUUUUUGUAGUUAAUAGAAACAGUUUUCUUAAAAUUUUUGUAACUAUAUCCUUUAAAAUAACUUUUGGUAGUUUCUUAGAAGAUCUUAACAGUGGCGGUUUACAGAAACCUCACAAUAGCAGUUAGAGAGGGAGGCCAUGCUUUCCCCACACACCUUGGAAAGAAAACAAGCCAAAGACCAGCAUGGCAACCUAGUCGUUAUUAUGUAACGAUAACGCAAGAAAGUAGGGACACAGUCCAGAGACCUCUGUUGACUGUUCUUUGCCUUACUUUUCAUUUUAGAGUUACAGAAACCAAAAUAAUUAAAGACCUAACAAAGGAAGAGAAAUAAUUUAAAAAUGACAUUUAGCAACAAAAAGAUUUUUUUAAAUAUGCAGGAAAAUGGACCAUUACAAGUAGGGAAAAUAGCUCUCUUCAUCUCAGAUGACAGUUGGUAAUGUUCAAGUCAUGAAUUUGCUCCUUAAAGGCCAUGCUGCUUAAUAAUAUAAAAAAG
rnacentral:lncRNA from 1 species